CUUUGGGUUAAGAACAUUCAGGAACCGAUUCCAGAAAUCAUCGAGUUUCGAUUUACCAGAUUAGUCUUUGGAUUAAGACCAUCGCCUGCUAUGUUGGGAGCUACGAUUAAUCAUCACUUGAAUUUAUAUGAAGACGAGAAUCCUGAUGCAGUCAAAGUAUUAAAGAAUGGCCUGUAUGUCGAUGAUUUAGUUUCUGGGGCUCCGAGUGAUGAUGAAGCAUUAGAUAUUUACAAGGGCACCAAAGGCAUCAUGCUAGCUGGUGGUUUCAAUUUACGUAAGUGGGCUUCCAAUUCGAAUACUGUUGUUGAAACUAUAACCCAGGCAGAGAGUAAUAUCGAUUCAGACAACAAACCCUCGUCCCCAGCCAUAGUACCCUCGUCCCCAGCCAUAGUACCCUCGUCCCCAGCCCUGAUCGAAGUACCCUCGUCCCCAGCCAUGAUCGAAGCACCCUCGUCCCCAACCAUGAUCGAAGAACCCUCGUCCCCAGCCAUGAUCGAAGUACCCUCGUCCCCAGCCGUGAUUAAAGAACCCUCGUCCUCA
rnacentral:lncRNA from 1 species